rnacentral:rRNA from 1 species
UGAAAUCUUUGGGCCCAACCCAAAGACUGGGAGGAAUACUCUAGAGCUAGAAUCUGGCAGGGGCUGGUAGAACUUUGGGUGGAGCGGUAAAAUGCGUUGAUAUCCAAAGGAAUACCGAUGGCGAAGGCAGCCAGCUGGGCCAGCAUUGACGCUGAGACGCGAAAGCGUGGGGAGCGAACGGGAUUAGAUACCCCGGUAGUCCACGCCGUAAACGAUGCAGACUAGCCAUUGGAAACAUCGACCCUUCCUGUGGCGAAGCUAACGCGUUAAGUCUGCCGCCUGGGGAGUACGGCCGCAAGGCUAAAACUCAAAGGAAUUGACGGGGACCCGCACAAGCGGUGGAGCGCGUGGUUUAAUUCGAUAGUAAGCGGAGAACCUUACCAGGGCUUGACAUGCAGCUGCAAGCUGCCGAAAGGCAGCCGCCUUCGAGGUGCUGCACAGGUGCUGCACGGUUGUCGUCAGCUCGUGGUGUGAACUGUACCGUUCAGUCGGUCAACGAGCGCAACCCCCGUUACCUGUUAAAUCUCUCAGGUAAGACUGCCCCGGUUAACGGGGAGGAAGGUGGGGAUGACGUCAAAUCAGCGUGGCCCUUAUGCCCUGGGCGACACACGCGCUACAAUGGGGUGAACAAUGGGUUGCCAAGCCGUGAGGCGGAGCCAAUCCCACAAACCACCCCCCAGUUCAGAUCGAAGGCUGCAACUCGCCUUCGUGAAGCCGGAAUCGCUA